GAUGAAGAACGUAGCGAAAUGCGAGACGUAAUGUGAAUUGCAGAAUUCAGUGAAUCAUCGAGUCUUUGAACGCACAUUGCGCCCCCUGGUAUUCCGGGGGGCAUGCCUGUCCGAGCGUCAUUGCUGCCCUCAAGCACGGCUUGUGUGUUGGGCCUCCGUCCUCCUCCCGGGGGACGGGCCCGAAAGGCAGCGGCGGCACCGCGUCCGGUCCUCGAGCGUAUGGGGCUUCGUCACCCGCUCUUGUAGGCCCGGCCGGCGCUUGCCGACACAUCAAUCUUUUUUCCAGGUUGACCUCGGAUCAGGUAGGGAUACCCGCUGAACUUAAGCAUAUCAAUAAGCGGAGGA
rnacentral:misc_RNA from 1 species